rnacentral:rRNA from 1 species
UACGGGGGGAGCAAGCGUUGUUCGGAUUUACUGGGCGUAAAGGGCGCGUAGGCGGCGUAACAAGUCACUUGUGAAAUCUCCGGGCUUAACUCGGAGCGGUCAAGUGAUACUGUUGUGCUAGAGUGCGGAAGGGGCUACUGGAAUUCUCGGUGUAGCGGUGAAAUGCGUAGAUAUCGAGAGGAACACCUGCGGCGAAGGCGGGUAGCUGGGCCGACACUGACGCUGAAGCGCGAAGGCCAGGGGAGCAAACGGG